GUCCACAAACCAUCUAGUUACCCCUCUAAGUGAGGAUUCUGAAUCCAAAGGGCAAGCGGACGGAUCAAAUUUACAGUUACUGUUUCUUGGCAAGCUUUCAUCAAUUGUUACUGCCUGAUUUUGGUAAAACGUGCUUUUUCCUUUUUGAACAGUACUUGCAAUACUGUGUUGUGCCUCAAGUUGUUAUCUAUUUAUUGUCAAACGUUUUUCCUGAGCUGUUGGAAGUCUAAUUAAAUCCAUGAGGUACUCUUUGACCACA